rnacentral:lncRNA from 1 species
UGGUGAAACUAUGAAAUGUCUAUGAUUUCAUGGAAGAAGUUGAUGCUGACCCCAACCAUACCCCUUCAUCUUCUAAAUACUAAACCCUAAACCAUAUUCACUAAAUCCUACACCCUAAUCACUAAUCCCUAAACCAAAAAUAUAAAUCAUAAACCUAAAUAGAAAUGAACAAAAUAAAUAUCAUGGUAUAUAUUGGUGAAAUUUUGAAAUAUCUAUGAUUUCAUGGAAGAAAUUAAAGUUAAUGCUGACCCCAACCAUACCCCCUCACCUUCUAAAUACUAAACCCUAAACCAUAUUCACUAAACCCUAAACCCAAAUAUAAACUCUAAACCCAAAUAGAAUGGAACAAAAUAAAUAGCAUGGUAUAUAUUGGUGAAAUAAUGAAAUGUCUAUGAUUUCAUGGAAGA